UGAAAAUGAACAACAACAACAACACAGAGCUAUCUGUCCCACUCUCAUGAAGCUGCAGAGGGCAAACAAUGAACAGCAGACAGGUCCCAUGACUUCCUGACAUCACCAGUCAUCCUUGGACUGAUCUAUUUUGCUGCUGUGAAUGCAGAAUGACUGCUCAUUAUCCACUCAGUGCCUCAGGAUGGUAUCCAGUCGAGCUGACGUCUGAACCCCGAUGGUCAUAAUUCACCUACAUGACAUGCUGCCACCCUUUGCUGAUGUCUCAACCCAGCUACUUCAACCUUCCAAUAUGGAUGUCCGGAAAUCCUCCAGGCCUUCAUGACCAGCCUGGGAAUGCUGAGUCUGCAAGCAUCCAUGAGACCUGGCAGCCACCAGGUUCUCAACCACCACUGGGCUACACAGAUCAUCUUAUUGAGUACUCUACCAACCGAGCCACUUCCCCAACUCAAGCUUUUGCAGCUUGCAAACACUGUAAAAGGAAUGAAGUGUUCUACAAGUUACCAAGACAUGGUGGCACAGGAUGGAGUUCUCAGUGGAGUCCAGGUGCGUUAGCACAGUUUCUACUCUAUCUGGAAUGAAAAUCAACCCAAGAAUCUACUUUCUGCAGCUCUUGAAAAGUUUUUGUUAAAUUCCAGCCUCCAUCUACUGGAAA